GCUGGCGGCGUGCUUAAUACAUGCAAGUCAAGGAGAACAUUUCCUUCGGGAAAUUAUUAAACUGGCGAACGGGUGAGUAACGCGUAGGUAACCUGCCCUAGAGAUUGGGAUAACACCGGGAAACCGGUGCUAAUACCGAAUAAUGCAGCGGAUCCUUCGGGAUACAGUUGUUAAAGCGGGCUUCGGCUCGCACUUUAGGAUGGGCCUGCGUCCGAUUAGCUUGUUGGUAAGGUAACGGCUUACCAAGGCAAUGAUCGGUAGCUGGUCUGAGAGGAUGAUCAGCCACACUGGGAUUGAGAUACGGCCCAGACUCCUACGGGAGGCAGCAGUAGGGAAUUUUGCGCAAUGGGGGAAACCCUGACGCAGCAACGCCGCGUGACCGAUGAAGCUUCUAGGAGCGUAAAGGUCUGU
rnacentral:rRNA from 1 species